GUGUAACAGAAGUGAAGCUACAAACCAAAGAGGAGACACAGAGAUUCAGGGAGGAGCUGAGCUGUUACUGAAGAACAGACGAGAGAGAGAAACCUCCACAUUCAACAGAGUUCAACACACAGAAGAUUCACUUUAUUCAACAUGUUGAUGUUGGACUGUUAUGAAACUUCUCUGUUAAUGAUCAUGAUUCUAACAGGUGUCAGCUGUCAACAACUCACUGCAAACAAAACUGAAGAGUCCAGUUUGGAAGGCAGCACAGUUACUCUGUCCUACAGAUACUCCAGACAA